AUUUUUGUAAGGAUGUCUUCUUUGACAUUUCAAGCACAUCAUAAGAGUUUAAGGGGCAUGUUUUUGUUGGUAUGAUUUUCUUUUAAAGAACUAUUCAGUUUAAUAAUGUUACUGAGAUUAGAAAGUUUAGUCUUAAUGAAAAAGAAGGCUGCUUUAAAAGUUUACUUUUCUCAACCAAGAAGUUUAGUUUUUUGUUUCAUGAAAGAAACUCUCGAGCAUGGGCCUAUUGUUGAACUAAUUAUUUUCUUUUUAUAUUACUCUUUUUCAUGUGGUUUGAUAUGUAAAUAGUUUAUAACCAAAAGGUGGUAUGAUAGAGUCGGUAGACACUAGAUUGUACCUAAUCAACUUCUUCAUUGUCAAUAAAUAUAAAUAGCUGGAUGAACGUGCAUAAAAAAGAAUGGGCUGCAUGCCUGCAUGCUGCUUCAAAAUCCUCUUAUGAAACAAAGAUUCCGCCGCAUGAUCUAGGGAAUGCAGGCAUGUUUGUUUUCUCAUUCCUUCUUUUCUUUAUUUAAGGUUUAUUAUUUAGAAUUAGAAUAAAUGAAUCUUAUUUUUAAAUAUAUUGAUUUGUAGCUUAAUGAUUACAAAUAAAAUUUGAUAUUUUAUUUUAAUUUAUGAAAUUCUCUUUUGAAACAUAAUAGUGUGGUUUUGUUUACAAAUUCCAGGUUUAAUCUACAUAACGUGUUUUACUAUCUGAUCCAAUAGACAAGGGAACAUAAUUGCUUGAUUAUUGAAAGAAGAGGUAUGAUUAUAAUGAUUAUUCAUUCAAAUUUAUGUAUAUCUUUAUGUAUCGGUGUAUUUGGAUUAUGAAUCAUUGAGAUUUGAUAGUUCUUUUGUUGUUACUAUUUUUUUUAUGUAAAUAUCUCAGUGUCCAUCUUAACCAUUUUGCUGAUACAGUUCAUGGUAAAAUCAUGUUACUUGAGAAAGAUGGACAUUUUUAAUCUAUAUAUGUAGACUAUGAGGAUGUAAGUUGAGUAAAUGGCAUAGUCAAUAUGAUAUUUUUAGCAGUUGAAGUACAACAUGAAGAAUUCAGAUGUUUCUUCCANNNNNNNNNNNNNNNNNNNNNNNNNNNNNNNNUUAUUGAAUGUGGUUACAUUGAUUUGUUUUGUCUAAUUUGCCACAUGCUAUAUAUUUGAACUUAUUACCCCAUUAUGGUAUACUUGAAAGUCAUCCUUUAGAAGACUUUGAAUUUUGAACAUCAAUAUCUCUGAUAUUUGCAUUUUACGCAGUCAUCUCUCUGAUUGGCACGAAGAAAGCUAAGCAAUAUCGUGAGAUGAUAAGUCGCUAAGAGAAGCUGCUCAAGAUGGUCAUGGUGAGUGACAAAUCGAUGAAACUAAUUACAUUAUGAAUCAGAAAUCUAUAAGAUUGAUAAA
rnacentral:lncRNA from 1 species